rnacentral:rRNA from 1 species
UACGGGGGGGGCAAGCGUUGUUCGGAAUUACUGGGCGUAAAGGGCGCGUAGGCGGUUUGCUAAGUUGGAUGUGAAAACUCUGGGCUUAACCCAGAGCCUGCAUCCAAAACUGGCAAACUUGAGUACUGGAGGGGAAAGCGGAAUUCCUGGUGUAGCGGUGAAAUGCGUAGAUAUCAGGAGGAACACCGGUGGUGUAGACGGCUUACUGGACCAUAACUGACGCUGAGACACGAAAGCGUGGGUAGCAAACAGG